AUGGGGAGCAGCGGAGCAGGCGCGGCGGCGCGGAUGGACCCCGAGGCGGCCACGGAGCUGGCGCGGAAGGGGGUCACCCUCCUGCUCCUCGACGUGCCCCAGCACACCGUCCUCGGCCUCGACACGCAGGUGUUCUCGGUCGGCCCCAGGUUCAGAGGGAUCAAGAUGGUGCCCCCAGGCCCGCAUUUCCUCCACUACUGCUCCCCCAGCAGGCACGGGAAUGAGUUCGCGCCGACAGUCGGAUUCUUUCUUACUACUCACCCAUCUCAGGUGGUCGUUCGAAGAUGGCAUGCUCAAGAGGAGAGAUUAGUGGCACUAUCAGAAGAGGAGGAAAUCAGAUACUCUGAAGCAGUAAAACGUUUCGAGUUCGAUGAUCAGCUUGGACCAUACAAUUUGGACUCUUUUGGUGAUUGGAAACAACUUUCAAACUACUUGUCACAAAGUGUAAUCGAACGCCUUGAGCCAAUUGGUGGAGAAAUUACAAUUGCGUUGGAGACAUCAUGGAUGGAUAGAGCUCCCCAAACAGAGAUGGAGAGACGAUUGAUGGAACAACUUAGAGAAGACAAAUUUGCAAAGAAAGCCCCCACACAGCCUGAGCGUAGAGGAUGCUACUACACAACUAUCCCUGCUUCUGUUAAACACAAGAACAUUUCUGCAGAUGAGCUGACUUUGCUGAAUUUGGACAGAACGAGCUUGCUGGAGACUGUCCUGGCCAAAAAUUAUCAAGGCCAAGAAGAUUUACUCUUGGGGGAGCUGCAGUUCUCUUUCAUAGCGUUUAUGAUGGGACAGUCGCUAGAGGCGUUUAUGCAGUGGAAAGCAUUGGUCAGUCUUCUUUUGAGCUGCAGUGAAGCUCCACUUCAUACAAGAACACAAAUGUUUGUAAAGUUUAUAAGGGUUAUUUACUAUCAAUUCAAGCAUGGCUUUCAACGUACACAUGAUUCCAGAAGUAGUGACGACAAGGGCAACUCUUUGUUUCUGGAUGAAGCAUGGUUCUCAAGAGACAUAUUUCUUUACCGGCUUUCCAAGGAUUUCUUGACGGUAAUAUUUGAAGCUCAAGUCGUGGAUGGAGACCUUCUGUCAUGGGCUAGGAAACUUAAGACGCUUCUGGAGACCACUUUUGGAUGGGAUCUCGAGAACAAUGCGGCGAACCUUAUCGAUGAGGACGACGAGUUUGCUCCCGUGGUCGUGGAAAUGGACGGCUAG
rnacentral:rRNA from 1 species